rnacentral:rRNA from 1 species
CCUACGGGGGGCUGCAGUGAGGAAUAUUGGUCAAUGGCCGGAAGCCUGAACCAGCCAAGCCGCGUGAAGGACGAAGGUGCCAAGCAUUGUAAACUUCUUUUGUCAAGGGACAAAAUCAGGCUCGAGAGCCUGACCGAGGGUACUUGAAGAAAAAGCAUCGGCUAACUCCGUGCCAGCAGCCGCGGUAAUACGGAGGAUGCGAGCGUUAUCCGGAUUUAUUGGGUUUAAAGGGUGCGUAGGCGGACUGUUAAGUCAGCGGUAAAAGCCCGGGGCUCAACCCCGGCGAGCCGUUGAUACUGGCUGUCUUGAGAUGUCGAGAGGUAUGCGGAAUGCGCAGUGUAGCGGUGAAAUGCUUAGAUAUUGCGCAGAACUCCGAUUGCGAAGGCAGCAUACCGGCGGCGAUCUGACGCUGAGGCACGAAAGCGUGGGUAUCGAACAGGAUUAGAUACCCGGGUAGUC